UUGUCUUUACUUCGGCACUUUCUCAUUGGAAGUUUAGUUCAUAACAAAGCUGUCUUUGGUUUUCUUCCUGUCUGAAGCUUGCCCAUAAUCUAUCUAUUUUCUUCUUCGGGAGAAACGUUUCUAGAAGUAGCCUCAGCACGAUUCAUUCUAUUCUGGAAGAAACUCUCGCAAUGUUAGCGGCAGAUUGACGGUGCUUUGAUUCCGCAGGAAACACAGUGGCUGGUAGCAUGGAUUCUGAAGAUGUAAGCACAAUUAGCGUCUAUAACCCUACCCUCGCCCUCUGUGGCCGCCACCACCGCCCAGCUUUCUGCAACAUCUGCUGAUGUAGGUGAGGGUAGGCUAUGCAAUGUGGACUUAGAGGUCGCUCUCAGAUCGGAGGCUGCCACCCUACGACGUAAGUGAGACAGUCGCGUGGCUCUCGGAGCGUCGGAUGUGCUCUCCAAGCGAGUGACCGAAUUGCGUGGGUGCUUGUUAUUCACGGGCAGUCUCUUGCGAUCUCGGCGCCAUCCAGACAUUUCUGAGGACCACACCGAAUGUGGGGAGAUGGAUCCGAGAGAUGCAUGGGAGUUGUUCCCGUGCGGUUGGAAGGAACUCACUCGCGCCCUCAGGUUUAGAGUAGAACCUCAGUGGUGAUUAACAAUGUGGGUUCAUAUAAGUCGCACCGUAAGGUCUACAAUUGAACUUCAGCGGUGAUCAAGAUAGUGGGUGCAGGCAGCAAUGUGCGACCAGAUACAAGGGCUCCGGGUUUUAAACAUCUAGGAGGACUGUUUCUGGAUGGAUCCUAACACAGAUAAGGCCCCCCCUUUGUCGAAGUUGUGAUCAAAACUGCGUGCUGUUGCAAUCACAAGCUCAAGCCCAGUUAGCAAUUAAUUGAUUAAUUGUUUAAUUGUUAUGGUUUCAAAUUUUGCUGAGUUUUGAAUGUCGCUGCCUCCUGCUCGAUUUUUGUUGAGUUUGUUGUAUUUCUCUACGGCUCGACCCCGGUCUCGCUAUCUACUGCAGCAUUCUCGUCGGUGUUGACUCAGCUGCCACCCGCCCUCCUGAUUCUUCUGCCCUCGAUGCCUCUGCUUCCCUGCAUUGCUCCGACGAUGAGCGAUCCGCCGCCAGUGAUUCCUGGUCCGUUCGCAGGGAAUACGUUAGCACCUUGGAUGGUGAGGACCAACGGAAUGCCGAUGUUGCGGAUGCGCUCAACGCCUCUUCGUUCCGCACCACUGAUUAUUUGGGCGCCCCUUCUCACCUCUCCUCGUCUCUCCAUGCUACGAGAUCAAAUCCCUCGCUCUUUUCACUUACACUGUGUGUCUGGUACUUGGUCCGGUUAAUGACGACUGUGUUUCGAGAUGGCCUAGUUUCUUCCAGUCCUUUCGACUCGGAACUGCUGCGCCGAUUUCCUUAGCACUUACACUCGCAAACAAGUUAGUUUCCUCCGGAUGGUUGUGGUUCGUGAAAAUGGAUGAUUCGAUGACAUACAUGGGUUCAUUAUUGAAAAUCUUUGUGCAAGUUGCUUGCUCCUGAUGGAGUAUUGGUAUUUUUUUCCUGUGCCUUGACGGGUGGGCAAGUAUGUUGAAGUCACUUGGGAGAAUGUUGCUAGAACUGGCGAAUGCGGCGGCUCCAAUUUCUGCGCGUAGAUUUUCAUCAAACACCUUAACUUUUGGAAUUGCACGUGGCAGGUGAUAACCUCUAGUAACAGCCCCAAGGAUGAGCUGAUAGCUCUGCCGUGCUUUUGGGCUUCGCUUUUUUGCACUUGGCACUAUUACUCCGCCCUUCACCAUCGACGGCUCUACCCUCUCCAUGGCGACCACAGCAUCGCCACUAUCCUAUCAACUCUCUCCGAUUCAUCGCUGCUCCUGUGAGCCCACACCAACUGCAACCGCCUCGACACAUGGCGCCGCUGCAGCUCCAUCCAAUCACUUUGAGCUUCAUCGCCAAGUGGAGCACCUCCACGUCUUCGCAUGGCGCUUGGAUUCUGAUUAGAGCUGAUACUGCCUCACUCGCUGCGUUGGGAUAUAUAGUGAUGGUAGUCGACAGUUCUCUUCAAUCGAAAUCAGCUCAUUGUACAGGACUUGCCUUCUUGAGCUGUUUGAUUUAGGUUACGAUCUUCUGCUUUCUACUUUAGCGUACUUCUACGUUGAUAAUUUAAUCCUCACCUGUGUCAAGAAUGGCCUCCAUGUCCACCGCGAUGUCACUGUCGAGCUCUGUGGCUGCACUUGCAGUCAUGCUCCCCUCAAACGCUGCUUUUGGAUCGUCCGGAGUUCAGCAACUGGCUGCUGUGCGGUCGCCCGUGAACUCGAACGCAUCCAGAGUCGUGGCUGCCAGGGCUAGCCAGUCCUCUGAGGAACAAGCCCCUGUGAAAUCAAAGGUUCUUGUGGCCGCCGGAGCAGCAUUCGCAUUGAAUGUUACUCCUGUUGCUCCCGCACAAGCUGGGUUUUUCAGCAAUGACAUCCAGGUCGAGCGGGGCGCCACAUCCCCACAAUUCCCCGGAAACGAAGGCACUGGAACCAAGGUCGGCAACAACAUGGGGCACCAGAGGAUCAGCCAAUUCUGGCACGCCCUUCGGUGAAGGCGCUGGUGGAAAUUUGGUCGGAGACAACCAAGCCACCAGGCAGCUUUCGUCCACGGGAACACCUCUGGGAGAAGGAAGUGCCAGCGGCUCCGGCGUCAAUGUUGCGGAGGCGUUGAAGGUACCUGAUGUCGGACUGCCUGAUGUGUCCAACUCCCUGAACAAGAUUGGUGAGCUGAAUCCCUUGAAGAAUGGUGUACUCGAUGCAUCGAACAUCGUCGGCGACGCCAAGAAUGCUGCUCAGGAUUUGGCGGGAGAUGCCAAGAGUAAGAUUGGCAUGGGAGGAAUGGGAAUGCCUGAUGCAGGCAGCGUUGCUAGCAACGCCAAGGGCAUGGCCGCUGAUGCUAAGUCCUAGGUAAGCGAUGGUUUGAGUGGUCCUUCAAGCGUUGCCAGUGGCGCAAAGAACUCUGCCAAGGAUUUGGUAGGCGAUGCCAAGAGUAAGUUGAGCAAUGUUGCCAGCUCCGACGUUGUCGGUGACGCUAAGAACGCUGCAGGCGAUGCUGCAAAUCGCGCAACUCAGGGAGUUGCAUCAAAUACUGCACAAGACGUUGUGGAGAACGCCAAGAACAGCAUCGGAUUACCUAACCCCAUGGAAGCUGGGAAGGCUCUGCUUAGUAAGCAAUGCCCGCGUUCGAGGACGGUGACAGAGGUUUCUGGAAGAGCCUCGAGAAGAUGGAAGAAGGGGUCGGUGCAGAGUUCCAUGCAGAACUCUAUCGUUGCUCUUAUUUGUGAUAGGUGAACAGGGAGCUCUAGGCAAGCUGUUUUAGUGAAAUCGAGCGUGAAGGCGUCAACUGUUGAGCACGGCUCUGGCCUCCAGACGGGACACUUCAAUAUAUGGAGCAAAAGGAGAGCAGGGUUAGCGUCGGGCUUGUCCGAACAAACAUGUAUUCUAAGAGACCAACGAUGGUGGACUUUACAAGGCGGGCAUAUACGGAUCACAAGUUGCGAAAGCCCUCCAAUUUGUGUUGUUGUGAUCCCGCCUCGCAAUGAACAACACAAGAUCAUGACCAAAGUAUGAAAACGUUGGACAAAUUUUAUUAUGAAUCCACAAUUUCAGCUCACGAAUCGCAGAACUACAACCGCAAUCGGAGGGUUCAUUUAUUUUGCCCCUAGCUAAAUCCUAGACACAACUGGGUUUCUUGUGCAUUUAAACACAACCGACCCUUCAUCACUCUGUUGAAGCGCAUCUCCAGACACGACAACACUUCGAUCCGACCUAUUGGAAGCUUAUUGCUUACUACCCAACUUCGCAAGUGUGACUGAAGGGGAAGGAUUUGAGCACCACUCCGUCUGCUAAGUAUCCGUGGUAAGACGUCGUCGAAUUGUUGUGACCUCGGGAUCAAGCACGUGCUGCUCUCCGUAUCUCGCCUAGCAUUCUUGAGUACAACGGAACAAGGCGCAGGUUUACUUCUGCGGAGCGAUGCGUAAUGACUCUCGUGCGUUUUUCGAGUCCGUCAUUGAAAUUCGGUGUGACUCGUGUGGUAUGAGCCAAAAGUUGAGGCUGAGAAGCCCACGGCAAUCCGCACGUCUAGAUGAGGGCGAGCUCGCAAGAGGCCGCCCAUGAACACGAAGUAUUGAUGCACUUCGGUCACUUGCAUGGAGAGUGUGUCCGAGGAGCGAUGGCAACGCAGCCAUCUCACUAUUCGUCGUGAAUUGGUGGCGGCGAUGGGUGAGCGUCUCCUGUGGCCCUGCUGCGCUCUCUUGGAUCUCCUGCAAGUCUAGUAUCUGCAUCUCCUGCGGGCCUAUUAUCUGCACCGGUUGUCGAGUUCGGGCGCCAGGGACGUGAAGGAGGCGGAUUAUAGUAGCUAAUGCUGGUGGCGUCUUCCAUGUUUCCUCGAACUGUGAGUCCUCGAACUGUGAGUCCUUAGGAAUCGAAGCACUGUCAAUUUGCCGCGAGCAGAGUGCGAGUGUGUUCGAGAGAAGAGUGAAUCGGGUAAAAUCGUUAGUCCUCUAGCAAUUUUGGUACUGAAAUGAAAUAUCAGAUGGAUAUGACGGACGCUUCAGUCACUUCACAAAAUCAACAACAGCACGUUGUGAGGGGUCGCACUAACAGUGUGAGUUGGUGCUCGAACUCGUCGACUUCUAAUUUCGCUGAGGGGAGGGCUAUAAUCUACAAGACACAGUUUCAGUACCCAACAAAAGCAGAACGCGAAGAUGGAGAUAAUAUCAAAGAUGAAAAUCAAAGAGAAAGGUAGCCAUAAUGAAUCAAUUGAUCAUUUUGCCCUUCUUAUAAUCCCUCGUUUUGGCCCUAUAACCCCUCGUUUUGUCUAAUUUUAGAAUCAAGCAUUUGCAAGUUGUUUUAGACCGUUUCCCGUUCGCGGAGAAAUGCCGUUAAUUUCGAUGAUGGGAUCGCUUUUCGGCCGUAAAUAUUUGCUUUACGUGUCAGUUCUCUCUUUCAUCCUCGGUUGUCCAAGAAAUGCUUACCAAAACAAGCAUGGAAGUGGGCAUUGAUUUACAAAUCCGAAAACAGCCGCGCUGUUAGCACCUGGAACCUAAGCAUUUCUUAGAAAUCCCCCGUGUCGUAGAUGGCAACUACAAUCUGUGUAGAGUUACUUCGCACCAUCCAGCUAUCCGGCGCAGAUGGUUGAGAAGUCUGUACACAAUGUCUGUACACGUUGUGGCUUGAAUGAUACUCAAAGUUUGCAGCCUUGUUUCGGAGGCUGCCGUUGGUUGUCACAGACCGUUCGUUGAAGCUUAAGCAGAGCAACUCAGGGUUUAUUAGGUUACCGUGGUCGUGGCAAGCGUCAAACCCUUGGUAUGUCAUGACACCAAGGGCAUGGCCGGAACAUAUCCAAUGAAUUGAAUAGAUCGGAGCAACGGAAUUUCUCUCGAAUGAAGCAUCGAAUGCGGCUUCGAGUUUUUUAACGAACAUUGGCAUCCACAACCAACGUUGACCGCACUUGACGGCACACAUGAUUGCGCUAACCGUGGGGACCAACACAUUAACUAAAACCAGAGGUUCGUUAAGAUUGUUCGUGCCCCUGCUGGCUCUCUUUUGGUAAGAUUGUGUGGGGUCCAGUAAAUGUCGCCGCACUCAGGUAGUCCGUCAGCACAGCAACGGGAUCAGUGCCUCCACCCAUGCCCAAUGGGUGGACAUUGUUGUUCUUAACCAUUGCCAGCAUCCGGCGGUGAUCCCGGCAAGACAUUUUCCCGGCCUCACUUCUAAAAAUAACGAUGAGAAUCAUUAUCAGAUCAAAAAAGCAGGAAAUUCGUUAUCAGCUACCAAACCCACUGUUAUAACUAAUUAUGUGUUAGACAGUGUUUUAGAGAAAGAGUGACGAGAGUACCUAGAAGUAAUAUGCACACAUAUGUAAACACACAUACAUACAAGAAGUGAGAUUAUUGAUAGGAUUAUAUCACUUAUACAAAGAGAAGGAGAGAAGAUAAACAUUGUUUUUCUACUACAUUCCAAACAUUGUAGCUACAAUAUAUAUUGUAAACUACAAUAAAUAGUAUGGAGAGUACCAGCUA